rnacentral:rRNA from 1 species
AAAGAACUUUGAAGAGAGAGUUCAAGUAUACGUGAAACCGCCCAGAGGUAAACGGGUGGAUCCGCCAGAGGUAAACGGGUGGAUCCGCAAAGUCGGCCCGCGGAAUUCAGCGCGGCGCGCGGCCCGGGGUUUUGCCGCUGUUCGGGAUCGCUCGUUGAACCGAACCCGGUAGCCUCGCCGGGCCCCGCCGCGUGCACUUUCCGCGGCGGAGAGCCACAACCGGUUUGGCGCGGUUCUUUUUCGCUGGGGAAGGGUUGUAGGUGGGGGCGCUCGCCAUCCCCACCAGCCUCUCCCGUCAGGUCAGCCGUCGCCGGACCGAAGAACCUGCCUCGAGGCCGCCUCCCCCUCCGGGCGAGUCCGACUGGGAGAGACUGGGCGACCGUGUCUCCCGACCGCUCGCCCGCCAGGCCCCGCGCGGCGAAAGCUAGCGAGGGUUGGUGGCAAGUCUGUCGGCAUUCCACCCGACCCGUCUUGAAACACGGACCAAGGAGUCUAACAUGCGCGCGAGUCAUUAAGCGGUACGAAACCCAAAGGCGCAGUGAAAGCGAGGGUCGCCUCCGAGCGGCCCAGGUGGGAUCCUCUUUCCCCCUUGCCCUCGCGGGCUUGUGUGGGGGAGUGGC